AUGCGCCUCUGCGAAAACUUCCCUGUAAGAGCAAGAAUGAUCACCUUCAGAAACUACACUCAAGACCACUCCAGCUGCAGGAAAAUUGCUGGCAGAAAGGCAUUAUCAUUCAGGCUCAAAGCACAGUGCCAGACCGCUCCAACCGUACAUUGUGACGCCCCAGGAUGUCUCCUGAUUGUCCCACUUCAUACGGGACUUGGACCUUUAAGUGAGCCCAGGUAUGUUUUAAUAACCUUGGAACUGGGGACUCUUUUCCACCAUUCCCAUACCCAGCCAGUUGCUGUAUUUCUUGGCAGAGGCAAGCUUAUUUCUAAGGAAAGAGAAAUAUUUCCAUUCUUUAAUAAGUCAUUCCAAGUUUCCUGUGAUGUUAUAAAUAAUCGGGCAAACAGCCGGCUUUAUUCUGCUUAAUUUGAUAUGGCAGAUUUGAAAUGUCGAAAAGUUCACUCUCAACAUAAGCCAUGCAACUGGACUCUGACCAAUACUCUCAUUCCUGAUGGGAUAAACUUUAUCAUCAAGCUCACUCAGGAAGGCAGCUGAGAUCCUGCCUGCCUUCCCAGGCGCUGACUGAUAGAGAGGUCUGAGCUGGCCGCGCAUGCUGUGAGCAUGAGGUCAGCCCUUCCUGGGUUUUCUCUGGGGGGACAGGCAACCAGCCUGACAAACUUAGCUAAUAUACCUGUCAUUCAAGGGUGGGGAGAAGGAGACUAGAAAAACAAAGUUGAAAUUAAUGUGUGAGUAAUUGGAAGAAGAAGCAUUAAAUAUCAUUUCAGGGUAAACAUUUCGAUAAAGGAGACAUAUUUUAGUCUCUCCAUAACACUCUGUGUCAAAUGUUCUUCCAUGACCAAGUUCAAGGGUUGAUUUAUAUUUUGGAAGUCCACAGAGAACUGAAUUCUGGGCGUAGAAAUGAAGGUCACCUGACAAUGGUGAUGAAAGAUAAAACUACCAUAAAUUCAGAUGCUUGGCUGAGAUUUUUAAAUCUGUUGAAAGAGCUUAAAGGGCAUUUCGCCAAUUAGUCUGAUUUUUAAUAGGAUGUUUGUGUUGUUUCAGUUCUUUGACUUGUAUUUAUAAAUCAAACAUCCUCUGAUGAAAUAGUUCAAGUGUGGUUUACAUUGAUUCCUAAAAGUUAUUGAAGGAGGAAAAAAAUUUAAUUGUGAUGCUUGAUUUAAUGAGUUUGAAUAUUAAGCAAUUUCCUUUAAUAAUACAAUUGUUCAAAGUAAACUGUUCAUAGCUCAUCUGGUAUUAUUUUUUGAAUUUGUAUUUCAUCCAAAUCAGAUCUCUUUUUCUUUCCAGUUUGUUAUUUAGGCUGUUCAUGUUCCAGUUAAGAUCAACGAAAGAAGGGUUUUUCUGGUGAUAAACGUGUAGAGCUGAUUAGGACUAGCUAAAACCAAAUGUAAGCUGCGAGAUCAGGUUUCGAAUUCUGACAAUGUUUAAAAUAUAUUGGCUUGCAAUUUUUUUAAAGAGGCAAAAAGCAAAAAACACAAAACAGGAUUCAUAGUUUGUAAAAAUACAAACGAGCUUGUGUUUCCAUGUGGCCACUUGGAAUAUUAAUUCUGAUUAAUGAAUAUGACUUUUUCUUUAAGGACUAGACUGUAAGUAUUGUGUGAGAAUUCUGCAUACACAGAGGAAAAACACACAGAAGCCUUGCACACAUCUAGUGACAGGCAGCGAAUGCCUUAGGCCGAAGGGCUCCCGGAUUCCCUCCAUUCAGCCCUAAUGCCCACGGGUUGCCUCCUUCACAGGAUGAUUCUGAACUCAUCUUUCCUAUUCCUUUCCAGGUGGAAACACCACCACCAUGUAUUUCAAACUGCAUUCAUUAGGCAACUGUCGCAUCUUCACUUAAUUUUCUUUCUUGUUUAUUUUUUAAUUCAUCUAAUCUCCCUGUGGAUAUGUUGAUGGUUAAGUAGUACAUUAGUAGUACUACAUUUAGUAGUACUUAUGUAGUAGUACAUAAGUAGUACUACAAAAUGGAUAGCUGAAAAAAUCAGAAAUUUACUGUCUCAGCAUAUUGGAGGUUGAAAUCAAGAUGUCGUCAGAGGGCCGCCUCUGUGGCAUAAUGGAUCAAGUCGCUGCCUGCAGUGCCUGCAUCCCAAGUAUGCUGAUUCGAGCCCAGCCACUCCAUUUCUGAUCCAGCUCUCUGCUAUGGCCUGAGAAAACAGUAGAAUAUGGCCCGAGUCCUUGGGCCCCUGCACCAACAUGGGAGACCCAGGAGAGGCUCCUAGCUUCUGGCUUAAGAUUGGCCCAGCUCCAGCUGUUGCAGCCACUGGGAAGUGAACCAGUGUACAGAAGACCUCUCUCUCUCUUUAUCUCUCUCUCUCUCUCCCCCCCCCACCUGCUUCUCAAAUAAAUAAAUAAAUCUUUUAAAUAAAAGAUAUUUU
rnacentral:lncRNA from 1 species